GUUAAACUUCGGUUAAAGUAAGUGGUGGAACUGGGCCUAAGAAUACAAGAAUACAAGAAUCAAGCGGUACGCGGUAGCAUCGCGACGUCAAGAUAUAAUAACGUUAUAAGGUUAAUUUUCGCGACGUCAAGAUAUAAUAACAUUAUAAGGUUAUUAAUGUUAUAUUUGAAUCUGCUGCAGAAAAUAUAUUUGGUCCUAUCGAGAUAAAGCAAAAUCAAUCAAUCCUUUCAAGAAGGCUGGUAUACUUUUAGCUGGGAUUUCUUCAGCUGGGUUGCAUACAGUCUUAUACCGCAGAACUUUGCUAAACAGCGUAACAUAUUGGGUUAUAGAGAUUUGGCAGUAACAGACAAUAGAGGGUAGUGACCAUAAAGCACUUAACUUCGGAUGGACAUAAAAACGAUUAAUAACUGUCGAAGUAAAAGAAAUAUUUACUAUUUAUAAUGGGGUAAGGGGAAUCCUUGCUCUUAUGUUAAGUGAUUGAACUGAAGUUGAAUUCAAUGUGUUGAAUCACGUGUAAUAUUAUAAUAGCAUAUUGCAAUGCGAGAUAUAUAUUCAUAAGUUUUAUGAACAUUAUCAGAGAGAAAUCACUGACAUUAUUAUAUUUUUGAUUAUAUAGUUGUGAAGUAAAACUUGUAAAUUCCUACGAUUUUAUCAAAAAUGUAAUAAUGUCAGUGAUUUCUCUCUGAUAAUGUUCAUAAAACUUAUGAAUAUAUAUCUCGCAUUGCAACAACAUGUUAUAUUAUUCCACGUAUGCAAAGGAAGCCAAAGUAUUCAUACGUAGUAUUUAUUUGUUAUUCUCAAAGUGGAUCUUACUGCAACAACAUUUUGAUCGUUUUAAUUUAUUAAUCUGUUCAUCAGUAUACAUACAUAGUAUGCAUACUUUGGCUUUCUUUAUACGUAUAACUAUAUUAUUUAAGAAAAAGAAAAACCUAUGAUAAUUAUAUAUCACGUUGCACAACAUGCUAUUACAAUAUUAGUUAUACAUAUG